rnacentral:rRNA from 1 species
AGUGAACGCUGGCGGUAGGCCUAACACAUGCAAAUCGAACGGCAGCACAGGAGAGCUUGCUCUCUGGGUGGCGAGUGGCGGACGGGUGAGGAAUACAUCGGAAUCUACUCUGUCGUGGGGGAUAACGUAGGGAAACUUACGCUAAUACCGCAUACGACCUACGGGUGAAAGCAGGGGAUCUUCGGACCUUGCGCGAUUGAAUGAGCCGAUGUCGGAUUAGCUAGUUGGCGGGGUAAAGGCCCACCAAGGCGACGAUCCGUAGCUGGUCUGAGAGGAUGAUCAGCCACACUGGAACUGAGACACGGUCCAGACUCCUACGGGAGGCAGCAGUGGGGAAUAUUGGACAAUGGGCGCAAGCCUGAUCCAGCCAUACCGCGUGGGUGGAGAAGGCCUUCGGGUUGUAAAGCCCUUUUGUUGGGAAAGAAAUCCAUCUGGUUAAUACCCGGGUGGGAUGACGGUACCCAAAGAAUAAGCACCGGCUAACUUCGUGCCAGCCGCCGCCGUAA